GAGGAAAACGUUUGACUAACUCAAAGAAAAUUUCCGCGCCCCCCCUGUCUGCAGAGGCAGUUUUGAAUUCAGGAGCGGCAAGAUGGCAGCGGCAAACCCUGGCGGUUCUCCGUGUUCGUGGCAACCACGGAUGGGAAAAUGUGGAGGUUGCACAGCUGAUGUUUACUGUUCGAGGCACAGGAAGAGGCAGUUUCAUUUCAGGAAUGAGUGUGCACAAUCAAAGAAUAGAGCGACUGUGGAGAGACCUCUGGGUGGCCGUUACAUGCAUUUACUACGAUGUUCUUCACAACCUUGAGGAAGAAGGCCUUCUUGACAUUUCAAAUGCUGCACACCUCUUUUGCUGCCAUUACAUCUCUUCUUUCUCGACUGGAGGAUGAUUUUAAUACAUUUUGCAGUGGAUGGGACAGAAAACAACAUGAGUCCCAACCAGCUGUGGGAGUUGGGUCACAGAUAUCACCCUGUUCCUGUUCCAGAAAACACACAGCUUAUCACACAUUUGAUUUCCAUGUGUGACAACUGCAAGUGUCCAGAGUGAGGACAGACUGAGGGACCCACUGCUGCACAUCAUCUGUGAGGCUUUGCACCCCUGAUGAUCCACCAGGACAAACUCAGCAGUGUGUGAGGAAGAGGAGGAGGAAGAGCCAGCAGCAGCUGACAGAUGGAGAGAAUAGACAGACUGUUCCCUGUUUGUGAAGGACUGCUAG
ensembl:lncRNA